ACGUUCGCCUCCGAAAAGGACUCGCUAGGAGGAGCGGGGACCCAGAUGGGGAAAAAGUGUCCGCAUUUUAUUUGUUUCUUGCCUGGCUGGCACCGCAUAUAAAGCACCAGGACACAGAGUCAAAUAAUGACGACAACAUAACAUGUUAUAAGGCUGGAAGUGAUUCGACCUCAAGUACUUCAGCUGUUGAAGAGACACCCACAGAAACAGUUGCUGAGGAAAACCGACAACCACCAGACAUUCCACCUUCACGCCCACCUUCACCUUCAGAAUCAUCGACAUCAAGUAGUGAGGUCAACUCACCAGUUGACCUCACCAGACCACUCAGCCAUCUCCUCUGUCCCCCCAGCCAUCUCCUCUCCCCCCAAGCCCAAGGAUGGCACAGAAGAGGAAGAGGAAAGAACAGAAUGACUUGCUUCAGAAGCAGGUUGCCCAGUUGGAGAAACGCAGGGUGGAACUGAAACAGAGACUGUCGCAGUACAACGAUGAGCUCUUCAGGUUUGGGCAAACUGCUGCAGACAUGCUGCGGAGGCUGCCGGAGGAGCACAGGGCACAGGCGAUGUUUGACAUUUACAAACUACUGUUUGAGAGGCAGCAGCAGUAAAUAUGAACAAUUGCACAAUUUAAUAUUUUGUCAGUUCCUGUUUAUACAUACUGUUUAUACACGUACUGUAAAUAUGAACAAUUACUUAAGUAAAGGAUCUGAAUACUU